AACUCCAGUAACUUUACCCUAUGCUUUUCCCUUUUCAGGGGAAGACAAAAUGUUUAUUGUUACCAUGAAAAUGAUAUCUAACAAAAUACAAUAUAUUUCAUCCAACACUUUAUAUUUCAGCUCUAGUAACUCAUUGUUAUCGGGGACAGGAGUCCACAGGUUUGACAUGACUAUACGAUAUAUCAUUGUCUAUCUCCUUUCAAUACGUCUCUAUCUCUCUCUCUUUCUCUCUCCUCCAAAUUCACUUUUCCGUUUCUCCCCCUUUCUAUUCAAACAAAACAAACAAGAUUUAGAGAAGAAGAAAGACUUUUAGCCCAAAUUCCUGUCCCUCACGUUAAUAGUUCAUUUUUUGUUACAUU
rnacentral:lncRNA from 1 species